AACGACUCUCGGCAACGGAUAUCUCGGCUCUCGCAUCGAUGAAGAACGCAGCGAAAUGCGAUACUUGGUGUGAAUUGCAGGAUCCCGCGAACCAUCGAGUCUUUGAACGCAAGUUGCGCCCAAAGCCUUCUGGCUGAGGGCACGUCUGCCUGGGUGUCACUCAAAUGUU
rnacentral:rRNA from 1 species